AGGCUAAGCGAGGAGUGAGAUUGGUCUGGUGCUGGUGGGGGAUCGUUAGAUGACGUAUUUGCUUUAUCGUAUUUCCUUUUUAUCGAUAAAGUCUUGAUGUGAAGUUACUUUAAAUAUGAAUCAAGUAAUAUACUCACGGUUAUGUGUCUCCAUACAUGUAACUGGUUCGCCUUUUGCUGCGAUACUCUGCAUAUUAUGUUUCCUUAUGAAAAAUAAGCUAUACCUGUUUUGUUUUUGUUCGUGAA
rnacentral:lncRNA from 1 species